rnacentral:rRNA from 1 species
UACGUAGGGUGCAAGCGUUGUCCGGAAUUAUUGGGCGUAAAGAGCUCGUAGGCGGUCUGUCGCGUCUGCUGUGAAAACCUAGGGCUUAACUCUGGGCGUGCAGUGGGUACGGGCAGGCUAGAGUGCGGUAGGGGAGACUGGAAUUCCUGGUGUAGCGGUGAAAUGCGCAGAUAUCGGGAGGAACACCAGUAGCGAAGGCGGCACUCUGGGCCGGUACUGACGCUGAGGAGCGAAAGCGUGGGGAGCAAACAGG